rnacentral:rRNA from 1 species
AUUGAACGCUGGCGGCAUGCCUUACACAUGCAAGUCGAACGGCAGCACGGGAGCAAUCCUGGUGGCGAGUGGCGAACGGGUGAGUAAAGUAUCGGAACGUGCCCAGUCGUGGGGGAUAACGUAGCGAAAGUUACGCUAAUACCGCAUAAGAUCUAUGGAUGAAAGCGGGGGAUUGCAAGACCUCGCGCGAUUGGUGCGGCCGAUAUCAGAUUAGGUAGUUGGUGGGGUAAAGGCUCACCAAGCCGACGAUCUGUAGCUGGUCUGAGAGGACGACCAGCCACACUGGGACUGAGACACGGCCCAGACUCCUACGGGAGGCAGCAGUGGGGAAUUUUGGACAAUGGGCGAAAGCCUGAUCCAGCCAUGCCGCGUGCAGGAUGAAGGCCUUCGGGUUGUAAACUGCUUUUGUACGGAACGAAAAGGUUUGGCCUAAUAAGCUGAGCUCAUGACGGUACCGUAAGAAUAAGCACCGGCUAACUACGUGCCAGCCGCCGCCGUAA